AGAAAAGGUCUGGCUCUGCCACCCAAGCUGGAGGACAGUGGCACCAGCUCCACUCACUGUAACCUUUGCCUCCCAAGUUCAAGUGAUUCUUGUCCCUCAGCCUCCCAAGUAGCUGGGACUACAGAUAUGGACACUAUUGAUGGGAGCGGCUGGCCAUCUGGAGUGGCAGUUGCCAUCAUGCCAGUAGCGCUUGGGCCGCACGGGCAGUGUUGUCAGGAGCAGCAGCAGGAGCAGCAGUGGCGGUGGUAGGACCCCGUUCCCUGUGUCCUCAAGGCAUCUGACUGCGCCGCCCCCUAAUGGCUGGGCAGGACCCACUCCCAGGUGCAGACCCUCCAUGGUGGCCUCAACUUCGCUUCCCACCACAUCUGGGAGCCCAUCAGCGCUGGCAGCCGGGUCUUGCAGGAUUGGCCCCAGGAGCAUCAGGUUCAUUUGUGCGGCAUUAGCCAGGGCCCCCAUGCCACCUGCACCUCGCCCGUGCACUACUGCAGGGAAAACGCAGAGAGGAGUCACGGCCAGGGCUGCACACUCUAUGGAGCCAGUGGGAGCUGGGGACAAGUGGGAGCCCAGCCCCUUCCAAGUUGCCAGGGCAGUAACUCCCCAGGCGCAACUGCAGCUGCCCAAGGAGGGUCUGCGACCCAGGCAGUCCUGUGCUCUUGGGAGCCAGGAGAAGGCAGGAGCCCCACCCUCCCAGGUACAGCUGGAGCCUUUCAAGCCACGGCUGCAGACCCAGGCACUCUGCACUCUUGGUGCCUGGGAGGGCCCCCGUGACCCCACAGGCUCAGAAGUGCCUGCGCCCACUGUCUGGGUUCUCCUCGCUGUCAGCACCUGCUCCAAUCUUUGAGCAAAUUUGAGGUCGAGCACACUAUAUUGUGCCCAAUAUAAAAUAGAUAUAAAAAUACCUCUUACACUUAAAUCCAGGCAUUGUCAUUUGAAUGACUUAAGAAUAUGCAGCUAAGGUGCUUUUGAAAAUACAAGCUAGUGAUUAUACUGAAUUUGUAAAUCACGUAGGAUAGUGAGUCAUUUUAGAAUAUUAAUUAUUUCAGUCCAUAAACCUGGAUGUCUUUCCUUUUCUGUGUUUUCUUUAAUUUCUUUCAUUGAUGUUUGUAAUUUUUGUUGUAGAAAUCUUUUACUUCCUCGGUUAAGUUUAUUUCUACAAUAGCUACAUUUUUGUAGCUAUUGUAAAAGAAAUAGCUUCCUGAAUUUUUUUUCAGCUAGUUUACUAGCAACAUAUAGAAAUGCUACUGUUUUUUGUAUGUUGAUUUUAUAUCCUU
rnacentral:lncRNA from 1 species